CAAAUCUCUUUUUCUGUUAGUCAGCAAAAACUCUGAAGAAUCCAAUUUUACAGUACAGAUUUGUAUUCAUUUUAUGUCGAGCUAAAAGAUGGAAAUGCUAAAAUGAAAUAAUAAUGGUUAUACCACAUUCAUUUCUAAUCAAAAUGCAUCGUCAAUGUACAUAUCCCUGUCCGCAGAGUAUGAGCAUAUCUGAGAAUCGUAUUUUGCACCCCAUUGAAAUAGAGCUCUGGGCAAGUUGCAAGCAAAAAGUAUUGGUGUAGCAGCAUUCCCGAGAACUGCAGUAUGGAAUUUUCAGAUAAUCAUUCUCUGCAUUCGACUUUGGUGUUAGUGUCAGUGUUCACCCCUCGGUAGAUAAUUAACAACCCUUAUCCGUCUGCUCCUCUCUCCCUGUCUCCUUUGGUUGUGUAACCUUUAUCUGCGAGCAAGAGAGUUUGUAUGUCUGUGUGUGUGUGCACCGAUGCGCUUACCCCUAAUUGCAAUGCCAUAAAAAGUGCAAUUCAAACGAAGGACAACCACCGUCGCAUGGUGAGGAAAGGGAUGCCCAGGAGGAAGACGAGAACACAGGCUCUUGGCCCUUUGCCAUUACAUUGCAGCCAUGAUUGCGAUGAGAGCGUGCAUUGUCUUGGCAGGAUGCAUUCGACCAUCAGCCGCAGAACCGGAGAGGGCUAGGGAAAUGGAUAGGGACACUGACACGGACACGGACACGGACACGGACACAAACGCGGACAGGGCGGGCAGACGAGGUUAGGGAACAGCCUGGGCAGCAGUUGGCAAGCAUCAAAUUAUGCGAAACUGCAUUCUCACUGCUCGCAUCGACAAGCUCAAGCCAUUUGCACCAUACGGACUUCUGGAGGAGAUGGAUGCAGGAGCAGAUGAUGGCCGGGUGCGCAUGGAUGAGUGCAGCAGCUGCUGAUGCUUUUGCAGUAAGUGUCCUUGCACCAACCGCCGCCCACGGGGGUUGGGGCUGGAUGCAAAUUUUCAAUGAAAAGAUAUCGAAAAUCUCGAGGAGUGCAGCCAAUCAACUGGAAAUUGCCAAGCGUCGAAUCAAGUGCCCCUCCCCGGCAACACCACAUCUCCCACCCGCGGGAGAAUUGAUAACAGAUAUCGGCAGCGGCAACAGCCCGACGGCAACGCGGGCGAUUAGCGGUGCGAGCGGACCUCAGCCGCCC
rnacentral:lncRNA from 1 species